UGCACGGGGAACGUGUGGAUGACGCACGAGGAGAUGGAGUCACUUCCGGCCACGCCCAACGCGGAACCGCGGGAAAUCAGCUGGGAACAGAUCCUGGCGCACGGGGACAUGAACCACGAGUGGGUGGGGAACGAGU